CCUAUGGGAGGCAGCAGUGAGGAAUAUUGGUCAAUGGGCGCUAGCCUGAACCAGCCAAGUAGCGUGAAGGAUGACUGCCCUAUGGGUUGUAAACUUCUUUUAUAUGGGAAUAAAGUGCAGUAUGUAUACUGCUUUGCAUGUACCUUAUGAAAAAGCAUCGGCUAACUCCGUGCCAGCAGCCGCGGUAAUACGGAGGAUGCGAGCGUUAUCCGGAUUUAUUGGGUUUAAAGGGUGCGUAGGCGGGCUGUUAAGUCAGCGGUCAAAUGUCGGGGCUCAACCCCGGCCUGCCGUUGAAACUGGCGGCCUCGAGUGGGCGAGAAGUAUGCGGAAUGCGUGGUGUAGCGGUGAAAUGCAUAGAUAUCACGCAGAACUCCGAUUGCGAAGGCAGCAUACCGGCGCCCGACUGACGCUGAGGCACGAAAGCGUGGGUAUCGAACAGGAUUAGAUACCCGUGUAGUC
rnacentral:rRNA from 1 species